GCUAAACGCGAAGAACCUUACCGGGGCUUGACAUCUUUCUGACCGCCUGGGAAACCAGGUCUUCUUCCUUCGGGAAGACGGAAAGACAGGUGGUGCAUGGUUGUCGUCAGCUCGUGUCGUGAGAUGUUGGGUUAAGUCCCGCAACGAGCGCAACCCCUACUAUUAGUUGCCACCAGGUUAUGCUGAGCACUCUAAUAGGACUGCCUACGCAAGUAGUGAGGAAGGUGGGGAUGACGUCAAGUCCGCAUGGCCCUUACGCCUAGGGCUACACACGUGCUACAAUGGGUGUUACAAUGGGUUGCUAAGCCGCAAGGUGGAGCCAAUCCUUUAAAAGCAUCCUCAGUUCGGAUUGGAGUCUGAAACUCGACUCUAUGAAGUUGGAAUUGCUAGUAAUCGUGGAUCAGCACGCCACGGUGAAUACGUUCCCGGGUCUUGUACACACCG
rnacentral:rRNA from 1 species